rnacentral:rRNA from 1 species
UACGGAGGGUGCGAGCGUUAAUCGGAAUUACUGGGCGUAAAGCGUGCGUAGACGGCUAUCUAAGUCGGGUGUGAAAGCCCCGGGCUCAACCUGGGAAUUGCAUUCGAGACUGAAUAGCUAGGGUACGGUAGAGGGAAGCGGAAUUUCCGGUGUAGCGGUGAAAUGCGUAGAUAUCGGAAGGAACAUCAGUGGCGAAAGCGGCUUCCUGGACCAGUACCGACGUCAGGCACGAAAGCGUGGGGAGCAAACAG